UACGUAGGGGGCAAGCGUUGUCCGGAAUCAUUGGGCGUAAAGCGCGCGUAGGCGGCCUUGUAAGUCCGUUGUGAAAGUCAAAGGCUCAACCUUUGAAAGCCGAUGGAUACUGCAGGGCUAGAGUCCGGAAGAGGCGAGUGGAAUUCCUGGUGUAGUGGUGGAAUGCGCAGAUAUCAGGAGGAACACCAAUAGCGAAGGCAGCUCGCUGGGACGGUACUGACGCUAAGGCGCGAAAGCGUGGGGAGCAAACAGG
rnacentral:rRNA from 1 species